rnacentral:rRNA from 1 species
AACGAACGCUGGCGGCAGGCCUAACACAUGCAAGUCGAACGCUCCGCAAGGGGAGUGGCAGACGGGUGAGUAACACGUGGGAAUCUUCCUAUCGGUACGGAAUAGCUCAGGGACACUUGGGGUAAUACCGCAUACGCCCUUCGGGGGAAAGAUUUAUCGCCGAUAGAUGCGCCCGCGUCAGAUUAGCUAGUUGGUGAGGUAAUGGCUCACCAAGGCGACGAUCAGUAGCUGGUUUGAGAGAAUGACCAGCCACACUGGGACUGAGACACGGCCCAGACUCCUACGGGAGGCAGCAGUGGGGAAUCUUGGACAAUGGGCGCAAGCCUGAUCCAGCCAUGCCGCGUGAGUGACGAAGGUCUUCGGAUUGUAAAGCUCUUUUGCCAGGGACGAUAAUGACGGUACCUGGAGAAUAAGCCCCGGCUAACUUCGUGCCAGCAGCCGCAGUAA